rnacentral:rRNA from 1 species
CCUACGGGUGGCAGCAGUGGGGAAUAUUGGACAAUGGGCGAAAGCCUGAUCCAGCCAUGCCGCGUGUGUGAAGAAGGCCUUCGGGUUGUAAAGCACUUUCAGUGGGGAAGAAAGCCUUGGGGCUAAUACCCUCGAGGAAGGACAUCACCCACAGAAGAAGCACCGGCUAACUCCGUGCCAGCAGCCGCGGUAAUACGGCGGGUGCGAGCGUUAAUCGGAAUUACUGGGCGUAAAGCGCGCGUAGGCGGUCUGAUAAGCCGGUUGUGAAAGCCCCGGGCUCAACCUGGGAACGGCAUCCGGAACUGUCAGGCUAGAGUGCAGGAGAGGAAGGUAGAAUUCCCGGUGUAGCGGUGAAAUGCGUAGAGAUCGGGAGGAAUACCAGUGGCGAAGGCGGCCUUCUGGACUGACACUGACGCUGAGGUGCGAAAGCGUGGGUAGCAAACAGGAUUAGAUACCCUAGUAGUC